rnacentral:rRNA from 1 species
UACGUAGGGCGCAAGCGUUGUCCGGAAUUAUUGGGCGUAAAGAGCUCGUAGGCGGCGUGUCGCGUCGGUUGUGAAAGCCCGGGGCUUAACUCCGGGUCUGCAGUCGAUACGGGCAUGCUUGAGUUCGGUAGGGGAGAUCGGAAUCCUGGUUGUAGCGGUGGAAAUGACGCAGAUAUCAGGAGGAACACCGGUGGCGAAGGCGGAUCUCUGGGCCGAUACUGACGCUGAGGAGCGAAAGCGUGGGGAGCAAACAGG